GGGGGGCUGGGAGGGGUUGGUGGCCCCCCCCGGUGACAAAGGGGACAACGGAGGGGACCCCCCUGGGGACAGUGAGGUGACACCAGCGAGGACCACGAGGACGGGGGGCACCUGAGGUGACAACGGGGACAACGAGGAGAGGAGGGUGGCACCUGAGGUGGCACUGAGGUGACAACGAGGACAAGGAGAGGUCCCUGUGAGGUGACAUCAUGGAGGAUAAGGAGAGGUGGCACCUGAGGUGGCACUGAGGUGACAGCAAGGACAAGGACAGGUCCUGUGAGGUGACACCAUGGAGGACAAGGAGAGGUGGCACCUGAGGUGACAACGAGGACAAGGACAGGUCCCCAUGAGGUGACACCAGCGAGGACAAGGAGAGGUGGCACCUGAGGUGACAACGAGGACAAGGACAGGUCCCCAUGAGGUGACACCAUGGAGGACAAGGAGAGGUGGCACCUGAGGUGACAACGAGGACAAGGAGAGGUCCCCAUGAGGUGACACCAUGGAGGAUGAGGAGAGGUGGCACCUGAGGGGACAGCAAGGACAAGGACAGGUCCCCAUGAGGUGACACCAUGGAGGAUGAGGAGAGGUGGCACCUGAGGUGACAACGGGGACAACGAGGACAAGGACAGGUCCCUGUGAGGCAACACCAGCGAGGACAAGGAGAGGUGGCACCUGAGGUGACAACGGGGACAGCAAGGACAAGGAGAGGUCCCCAUGAGGUGACACCAUGGAGGAUGAGGAGAGGUGGCACCUGAGGUGACAACGGGGACAACGAGGACAAGGUGGCACCUGUGGGGACAAGGACAAGGACACAGGAGGUGUCACCAGGAGGUGACAACGGGGACAAGGACAAGGUGGCACCUGUGGGGACAAGGACAAGGACACAGGAGGUGUCACCAGGAGGUGACAGCAGGGAGAAGGACGUCACCUGGGUGACACUGAGGACAAGGACACGUCCCCAUGAGGUGGCACCCACAAGGACGAGGACAGGCCCUGGUGGCACCUGCGGUGACAACGAGGGCCAGGAGGUGUCCCCAAGGCACCUACAGUGACACCAGCCAGGACAAGGACAGGUGGCACCUGCAGUGACAACGGGGACAAUGAGGAGAGGUCCCCAUGAGGUGACACCUCUGGUGACAACGGGGACAAUGAGGAGAGGUCCCCAUGAGGUGACACCAGCAGGGACAAGGACAGGUGGCACCUCUGGUGACAACAGGGACAAUGAGGAGAGGUCCCCAUGAGGUGACACCAGCAGGGACAAGUGGCAUCACCCCCGGGCCGAGGGUGGCACUGAGGCCACCAGCACAGCCCUGGGGACAACCUGGGGUGUCCCUGAGCCCGAGGGUGACACUGAGACCCCAUAGGUGACACCGUGACCCUUGGGUGACACCGUGGCCCUGUAGAUGACACUGUGACCCUGUAGGUGACACUGUGACACUCUAGGUGACACUGUGACCCCAUGGGUGACACCAUGUCCCCGUGGGUGACACUGUGACCCUGUAGGUGACACUGUGACCCUGUGGGUGACAUCACAUCACUGUGGGUGAUACUGAGACCCCGUGGGUGACACUGUGACCCUGCGGGUGACACUGUGACCCCACAGGUGACACUGUGAUCCCAGGGGUAACCCUGUGACCCCGUAGGUGACACUGUGACUCUGUGGGUGACACUGGGACCCUGUAGGUGACAUCACAUCACUGUGGGUGACACUGUGACCCUGUAGGUGACACCGUGUCCCUUUAGAUGACACUGUGACCCUGGGGGUGACAUCACAUCACUGUGGGUGACACAGUGACCCUGUGGGUGACAACAGGUCCCUUCAGGUGACACUGUGACCCUGUGGGUGACAUCACAUCACUGUGGGUGACACUGUGACCCCGUGGGUGACACUGGGAGCCCACAGGUGACACUGUGACCCUGUGGGUGACACUGUGACCCCACAGGUGACAUCACAUCACUGUGGGUGACCCUGUGACCCUGUGGGUGACACCGUGACCCUGUAGGUGACACUGAGAGCCCACAGGUGACACUGUGACCCUGUAGGUGACAUCACCUCACUGUGGGUGACACUGGGACCCCACAGGUGACCCUGUGACCCUGUAGGUGACACUGUGACCCCACGGGUGACCCCACCGCCACGGAGGACACACCCAGUCCCCAAGGGUGACACUGUGACACCCCUCCCCCCCCCCCGAGGACACCACCGUGUCCCCUCCCCCCUUGGUGGCACCGCGGCCACGCCGGGGGUGGGGGAGGUGUGUGGGGAGUGGUGACACCGUGCCGGGUGUUGGGGACACUCCCGUCCCCUCCCAGGGGAUGGGCUGGCACC